rnacentral:rRNA from 1 species
GCAGUCGAGCGGAUGAAGGGAGCUUGCUCCCGGAUUCAGCGGCGGACGGGUGAGUAAUGCCUAGGAAUCUGCCUGGUAGUGGGGGAUAACGUCCGGAAACGGGCGCUAAUACCGCAUACGUCCUGAGGGAGAAAGUGGGGGAUCUUCGGACCUCACGCUAUCAGAUGAGCCUAGGUCGGAUUAGCUAGUUGGUGGGGUAAAGGCCUACCAAGGCGACGAUCCGUAACUGGUCUGAGAGGAUGAUCAGUCACACUGGAACUGAGCCAGGGUCAAAACUACUACGGGAGGCAGCAGUGGGG